rnacentral:rRNA from 1 species
GAUGAACGCUGGCGGCGUGCCUAAUACAUGCAAGUCGAGCGAACAGACGAGGAGCUUGCUCCUCUGACGUUAGCGGCGGACGGGUGAGUAACACGUGGAUAACCUACCUAUAAGACUGGGAUAACUUCGGGAAACCGGAGCUAAUACCGGAUAAUAUAUUGAACCGCAUGGUUCAAUAGUGAAAGACGGUUUUGCUGUCACUUAUAGAUGGAUCCGCGCCGCAUUAGCUAGUUGGUAAGGUAACGGCUUACCAAGGCAACGAUGCGUAGCCGACCUGAGAGGGUGAUCAGCCACACUGGAACUGAGACACGGUCCAGACUCCUACGGGAGGCAGCAGUAGGGAAUCUUCCGCAAUGGGCGAAAGCCUGACGGAGCAACGCCGCGUGAGUGAUGAAGGUCUUCGGAUCGUAAAACUCUGUUAUUAGGGAAGAACAAAUGUGUAAGUAACUAUGCACGUCUUGACGGUACCUAAUGAGAAAGCCACGGCUAACUACGUG